GAUGAACGCUGGCGGCGUGCUUAACACAUGCAAGUCGAACGGAAAGGCUCCUGCUUGCAGGGGUACUCGAGUGGCGAACGGGUGAGUAACACGUGGGUGAUCUGCCCUGCACUUCGGGAUAAGCCUGGGAAACUGGGUCUAAUACCGGAUAGGACGAUGGUUUGGAUGCCAAUGUGGAAAGUUUUUUCGGUGUGGGAUGAGCUCGCGGCCUAUCAGCUUGUUGGUGGGGUAAUGGCCUACCAAGGCGUCGACGGGUAGCCGGCCUGAGAGGGUGUACGGCCACAUUGGGACUGAGAUACGGCCCAGACUCCUACGGGAGGCAGCAGUGGGGAAUAUUGCACAAUGGGCGCAAGCCCGAUGCAGCGACGCCGCGUGGGGGAUGACGGCCUUCGGGUUGUAAACUCCUUUCGCUAGGGACGAAGCGCAAGUGACGGUACCUGGAGAAGAAGCACCGGCUAACUACGUG
rnacentral:rRNA from 1 species